CAUCACCAUCACCAUCACCAUCAUUAAUUUCCAAUUGAAGUGGAAGGAGAUUGAACCAGUAUCUGGGGAGCUUCUGAUGCAGAGUUUUCUGGUUGUACUAAUGGGGAGGAUUCAGCUUGGCUUGGCAUUGCAGCCUGGACUAUUUCUGGUGGUUUGAACUUGUUGAUAUAGUAACUGAGAGAUGGUCCAGAGUAUUCAACUGUUUGCAUCGCAGUUGGUGCCUUACCAACUUGGAUGAGAAUUGAUGAAGCUGCAGCCACAGAAAUCAGGGCAAGGCCAGCAGAAAUUGCUUUUGUGUUUUCAGCUCCAUCGGCAGAAGUACCUGCAGUUCCUGAGCUUAUUGCACUUUUUGCUAUGUAUACCGUUGGCUCAACAGAGUAAAUAUUUGUCUGCCCUGCAGUAUCCUUCUCAACAUAUCCAGUCCAACCACGAGUUCGUGGUGGGAAUGUUCCAACCACUCUGGUUUUCUCCCCAGCCAGCCAUUCCACACUCACCUUGCCAACCUCCUUAUCAGGAGCACAUUCUUCAUCGUUGCAAUCAGCAUCAUCAGAUGAAACUCUAACUGUAAAAAGCUUCAAAUUUUGCCUAUUUA
rnacentral:misc_RNA from 1 species